AGCCCCGUCGUCUAGUGGUCAAGGAUGGGAGGCUCUGGACCUCCAGACCGCGGUUCGAAUCCGCGCGGGGCUA
rnacentral:tRNA from 1 species